AUCAUCCACGAUCUCAACGCUCGUCAAUUCAUUUUCUAGUCAGUUCACUUUCUGUUGACGGCGAAUGCCGAAGUAGUCCUAGUCGAAGCGAAGCUACAGAGAGGAGAGUCGAUCUUCAUUUUUCAUCUUCGAAGAUUUCGGGCCCUGCCUGUGCGUAUUCUUCCAGUUAUCCUACUCCACUGAUGCCUAACUGUCGCCUAAGCCAAACAAAUAUUGAAAAACAAUCUCAUAAUUGCCGCGAACAAUAAUUGGCAAAAUGCUGAACACAAAAACCAAUUACUACGGAACGAAUCAAUUUAAACAUUCAAUCCCUUCUCAGAGGUUACAGUAAUAUAAAAACAUGAGCGAUGAACAUGAAAGAACCACUGUUCACAGCGGUUCGAAUCAGUUUCAAACAAAAUGUUUAGGGUAACAACAUUUCUUUUCUUAGCUAUAGCUUUUGCUGUGUGCAUCCUGACGACUGAGGCCGUGUCGUCGGAUAAUAUUGUCGAGGAUCUGGUAUAACACAAUAAUAAUAAUCUCAGUCGUAAACCAAAUCUCUAGUUAAACCCAUUUGAUGAUAUAGAAGGAAACAAUCGCCAAACGAGAAUCUAUCUACCAGAUAGGAUCACCCCCACAUCGUUCUAAAGCACACAUACCGUGGCUAGCGUUAGAUGGAUAAUAUUAGAUGGAAUAUUAUUGUAAACUGGAAAAAUGUUUUGAAAUUCAUUCAUUGAAUAAAUCGAUCCGAAAAAGU